rnacentral:rRNA from 1 species
AACGAGCGCUGGCGGCAUGCCUAACACAUGCAAGUCGAACGAACCCUUCGGGGUUAGUGGCGCACGGGUGCGUAACGCGUGGGAAUCUGCCCUUGGCUUCGGAAUAACAGUUAGAAAUGACUGCUAAUACCGGAUGAUGUCUUCGGACCAAAGAUUUAUCGGCCAGGGAUGAGCCCGCGUAGGAUUAGGUAGUUGGUGGGGUAAAGGCCUACCAAGCCGACGAUCCUUAGCUGGUCUGAGAGGAUGAUCAGCCACACUGGGACUGAGACACGGCCCAGACUCCUACGGGAGGCAGCAGUGGGGAAUAUUGGACAGUGGGCGCAAGCCUGAUCCAGCAAUGCCGCGUGAGUGAUGAAGACCUUAGGGUCGUAAAGCUCUUUUACCCGGGAUGAUAAUGACAGUACCGGGAGAAUAAGCUCCGGCUAACUCCGUGCCAGCAGCCGCAGUAA